CACGGUGGUGGCAGCAUCAUGAUGUGAAGCACGGUGGUGGCAGCAUCAUGAUGUGAAGCACGGUGGUGGCAGCAUCAUGAUGUGAGGCACGGUGGUGGCAGCAUCAUGAUGUGAAGCACGGUGGUGGCAGCAUCAUGAUGUGAGGCACGGUGAUGGCAGCAUCAUGAUGUGAAGCAUGGUGGUGGCAGCAUCAUGAUGUGAAGCACGGUGGUGGCAGCAUCAUGAUGUGAAGCACGGUGGUGGCAGCAUCAUGAUGUGAAGCACGGUGGUGGCAGCAUCAUGAUGUGAGGCACGGUGGUGGCAGCAUCAUGAUGUGAAGCACGGUGGUGGCAGCAUCAUGAUGUGAAGCACGGUGGUGGCAGCAUCAUGAUGUGAAGCACGGUGGUGGCAGCAUCAUGAUGUGAGGCACGGUGGUGGCAGCAUCAUGAUGUGAAGCACGGUGAUGGCAGCAUCAUGAUG